AUGACGUGCGUUGCACGUGCAAGUCUACUAGUCCCAUCAAUGAGCGAGGAGGGCGAGAUGAGCAGCCUCCGCCGCCGCCGCCGCUCACCGGCGGCAUCCCCGCUGGAAGACGACGACCUGCUCUCCGAGAUCCUGCUCCGCCUCCCCCCGCAGCCUUCCUCCCUCCCCCGCGCAUCCGUCGUCUGCAAGAGCUGGCGCCGCCUCGUCACAGAUCCCCAAUUCCGACGCCGCUUCCGCCUCCGCCACCGCCGCAACCCUCCCCUCCUCGGCUUCUUCAACCGAUUUGAUGGCCUCUCCUUCCAACCUACCCUGGACGCCCCUGACCGUGUUCCUCUCGGGCGCUUCCCCUUGCAGCGCGACGACGGCGACUACUUCGUCUCCCUCGGAUGCCGCCAUGGCCUCCUGCUCAUCUUCCUUCCGGAGCGUCUCCAGAUCCUUGUGUGGGAUCCCGUCACGGGCGACCAGCACCGCCUGACCAUUCCCCCGGUGGUCGCGGAACGCGCGGAGAAGAUUGGGAUCAGCGGGGCGGUGUAUCGCGCCGCCGGAGACGUCCAGCAGUUCCAGGUGUUCUUGGCAGUGACAGACGGCGACGGCCCGAAACACAGACGAGCGCUGGCCUGUGUUUAUUCCUCAAAGACCUGCUUAUGGGGGAAUCUCAUCUCCACACCCAUUCCGCACCAGGCUCAUGGAUCCCAGUUUUUCACCAUGGUUACCGGUGACGCUUUGCUGGCUGGAGAUUCCCUUUACUGGGUGCUUGCUGGGAAUUUGGAUGGAAUUCUCGAGUUUGAUUUGGAGAAGCAGAGUCUAGCUGUGAUACAGCCAGUGGAUGUGCGUGGCAGGCGCCACUUCAAGCUUAUGUGGGCAGAGGGCGGUGGGCUGGGUUUCCUCUUCAUAUCAGAAUCUGACCGCUACACCGCCCAAUUAUGGAAGAGGCUGACCGGCCGUGAUGCUAUUGCUUCAUGGGUGCUUGCAAGAACUAUUGAACUUGACAAGCUACUUUCCCUGAAUCCAGAGGAGGAAGAGCGCAUAGUGAUGCUAGGGUUUGUUGAAAACAACAAUGUGUUGUUGCUGUGGACGGUUGUUGGCGUCUUCACGAUCCAUCUCGAGUCAUUGAAGUUCAAGAAGCUUUUCAAAACUAUGCAAAUGUCUCACUAUCAUCCAUUCGAAAGUGUCUAA
rnacentral:rRNA from 1 species